UUCGGGGUCGUCCAAUGGCAGGACGCUUCGCUUUGAACGAAGAAAUCGAGGUUCGACUCCUUGCCCCGAAG
rnacentral:tRNA from 1 species